AUAGGCAAUUUUUCCUGUAAUGGUUUUUUGUUUAAAUGUUUUUUCGCCUAAGGAUGGGUCUGCGGCCGAUUAGGUAGUUGGUUAGGUAAUGGCUUACCAAGCCUUUGAUCGGUACGGGUUGUGGGAGCAAGAGCCCGGAGAUGGAACCUGAGACAAGGUUCCAGGCCCUACGGGGUGCAGCAGGCGCGAAACCUCCGCAAUGUGAGAAAUCGCGACGGGGGGAUCCCAAGUGCUAUUCUUAACGGGAUAGCUUUUCUUUAGUGUAAAGAGCUUUUGGAAUAAGAGCUGGGCAAGACCGGUGCCAGCCGCCGCGGUAACACCGGCAGCUCUAGUGGUAGCAAUUUUUAUUGGGCCUAAAGCGUCCGUAGCCGGUUUAAUAAGUCUCUGGUGAAAUCCUGUAGCUUAACUAUGGGAAUUGCUGGAGAUACUAUUGGACUUGAGACCGGGAGAGGUUAGAGGUACUCCCAGGGUAGAGGUGAAAUUCUGUAAUCCUGGGAGGACCGCCUGUUGCGAAGGCGUCUGACUGGAACGGUUCUGACGGUGAGGGACGAAAGUUAGGGGCGCGAACCGGAUUAGAUACCCGGGUAGUCCUAACUGUAAACGAUGCGGACUUGGUGUUGGGGUGGCUUUGAGCUGCUUCAGUGCCGAAGGGAAGCUGUUAAGUCCGCCGCCUGGGAAGUACGGUCGCAAGACUGAAACUUAAANGAAUUGGCGGGGGAGCACCACAACACGUGGAGCCUGCGGUUUUAAUUGGAUUCAACGCCGGACAUCUCCACCAGAGGCGACAGCUGUAUGAUAGCCAGGUUGAUGACUU
rnacentral:rRNA from 1 species